AUUGAACGCUGGCGGCAGGCCUAACACAUGCAAGUCGAACGAGUGGCGGACGGGUGAGUAAUGUCGGGGAAACUGCCUGAUGGAGGGGGAUAACGACUGGAAACGGUAGCUAAUACCGCAUACCAUCAGAUGUGCCCAGAUGGGAGGAGCUUGUUGGUGGGGUAACGGCUCACCAAGGCGACGAUCCCUAGCUGGUCUGAGAGGAUGACCAUCCACACUGGAACUGAGACACGGUCCAGACUCCUACGGGAGGCAGCAGAGGGGAGUAUUGCGCAAUGGGUGCAAGGCUGAUGAAGCCAGGCCGCGUGUAUGAAGAAGGCCUGAGGGUUGUAAAGCACUUUCAGCGGGGAGGCGUUACCCGCAGAAGAAGCACCGGCUAACUCCGUGCCAGCCGCCGCGGUAAUAC
rnacentral:rRNA from 1 species